rnacentral:lncRNA from 1 species
GGUAGAAAUCCCAGAGAGAAAGAAGAAAGAGAUUGAAUUAGAUCAUAAUUCUUUUAGAUUGAAUUAGAUCGUAUGAUACGGAAAAGAAAAAUGGACGUAUGUAUAGAACAACGAAAAUUCCUAAAUAUCCUGAAUCUCACAAAGAGAUUACGAUCAGAAUAUCCCUAGGGAUAUCUUAUAAAUAUGUUGCAAUGUAAAAAGAGUAUUUCAAUAUUAGCGUUCUAAGAGAGGUAAAUCAGAAACUCGAAAAUUUUUCAAGAUUAUAUAAGCAAUUGCCC